ACAUACCUACUCACUCACCAGCGUACCCCCAUGAUACGGCAGAAGCCGCCACCGUAGUGAAAACGGGAGAGAGGGAGGGUGGUGAGGCAACAGUGACAAAACCGUCUGUCUCUCCCUUGAGCACCACCGCCUCCUCGUCUCCCCCCUUCUGCCGUCUCCCUUCUCGUACGGCGAAUUGUGUUAUGUCUGCGUCUUUUUGCGCCUCCUCAUGAGCAUCCUCAUCGCUGCGUGCGAGCCCACCUCAUCUCGGCAACGCCCUAGACCCUGACCCACCCCACUCUUCCGAGCGCGAGAGGCUGACGAAACCCGAACAAGAAGCGCAUGCUUGUAUCGCAAGAGAGGUGCGCGGCGCGCAUCACCCUCGUCCCAUCUCUGUCGCCACGCUCUGCCCAACGCACACAAGCGCGCAUGCACAUGGACACGCCGGGACAAUGUCUUUUCUGUCUUGCGCUGCGCACCGGUGUCUCCCCUCCGUAUUCCUGCUUGAUGGAGUGGGUGUAUCUGUGUGUGUGUGUAUACCCCCAUGGUUUCGUGUGCGUAUGUGUGGCCCGUCCAUGUCUGUACCCCCUCCCCCACCCACCCACCCCAAAACGUGGCUUUCGGGCCGCUUUUCGUUGUUGUCUUUCCCCGACUCUGUUGUUGUGCUGCUCGUGCUGCUGUCCAUCUCAACUUUUUAUUCCCUGCUCUUCUCUGGCAUGUCGGUGGUCUUCCGGCCGCAGUCGCCACAUCCGCAGCCGCUGCAGAGGAGUCCCCGUCAUGCCGUGGCACUAUGCGCUUGGGUCUCUGUCUACGCGGUGGGGAGAAAGACGCAGCGAGCCCCGAGCGUGUUCGUUAACUACGUGCUCUUCACGCAUGCGUGUUCAUCGCGGGCAGAACGAGUCACAUCAGCGUCACGGCAUAUCGCUCACCCGACACGCACACACAUGUUUUUCCUCCGGUUGUCUCGCCCCUGUCCCUCUGCCUCUCGUCCCCUGAGCGGCGCUGGUCCUCGUCCCUCUGCUGCGCGGUGGUCUGUGUCCUUGUUUCGCCUCCUUUCUUGCGUUGUUGCCGUUGCAGCACACAUCUGUGUCUUCGUGCGUCUGUGCCGGCGCCAGUCUGAUCGAUUCCGACACCGAUGUUCUGUGUCGCCCUCUCGUGUGCACCACCCGCUCUCUGUUCCCGUGUGUCCAUGUGUGUGGGUAAGGGAGAGGGGACAAGGGGAAGAGGGCAGGGCAGGCGGCCACUGUCCCACCAUAGCCGCCACGCCUGCUCGCCUCUUUCGUCGCCCAUGCCUCGUCGCUGCGAUGUCCACGCGCGGCGCGCCUCCCCUUUUUGUCUCCAUUGUUUGUUAGCUUCCCACCCUUCUGGCCCCGUACAUCAACCCACAUACAUAUCCUCAUGACCGGUACAUACAAACAUACCCGCACACAGUGCGUGGCAUCUCGGGACCCGGUGCCCCCACUCUCUCCCCCUGCGGGGAGGCGGAGCGGCACCCCACCCCCUCUAGUCCUGCCCAAUGCGGAGCCGCUUCCGGUCGUGACAGGGUCAAGCGCCGACGCCGUAGGGGAGGUCAGAGCGAUGCAUCGCCACUGACGCCGGCGGCCAGGUCCUGGACGGCGCUGCGUCGGUGCGACCCGCGGCCGUGAACACGCUUGCGCCAUCCAUGUGAUGGGCAGCGUGUCGGCGUGACUCGAGCGUACCCCACACCCGGCCCCCACACUGCCCUGCUGGUGGUGGGGAGCCGGAGCCACCCCGAGGAGGAUGCAGCACGUGGCGACCGGCACGAUGGUAGCUGCUGUGAGGCCACCCGCGGGGCGGGUGGUGGGUGGGGCUUGAGGCAGGGGCUGUGCUCAGAUGACUGUGUCUGCGCACAGCCGUAGCGACGUGCCUGCCGCUGCUUCAGUUCACGCGCCUGAGGUCUGUGCCAGGGCCCGGGCCAGAGGGAGGGUAGAGUGCUGUGUAGCGCGUGCUCUACGGUCAGAGAAUGGUCACGUUGAACAAAAC
rnacentral:misc_RNA from 1 species